rnacentral:rRNA from 1 species
GAUGAACGCUGGCGGCGUGCUUAACACAUGCAAGUCGAACGGAAAGGCCCAAGCUUGCUUGGGUACUCGAGUGGCGAACGGGUGAGUAACACGUGGGUGAUCUGCCCUGCACUUCGGGAUAAGCCUGGGAAACUGGGUCUACUACCGGAUAGGACCACAUUUUGGAUGGUGUGGUGGAAAGUUUUUCGGUUUGGGAUGGUCUCGGGGCCUAUCAGCUUGUUGGUGGGGUAAUGGCCUACCAAGGCGUCGACGGGUAGCCGGCCUGUGAGGGUGUACGGCCACAGUGGGACUGAGAUAAGGCCCAGAAUGCAACGGGAGGCAGCAGUGGGGAAUAUUGCACAAUGGGCGCAAGCCUGAUGCAGCGACGCCGCGUGGGGGAUGACGGCCUUCGGGUUGUAAACUCAUUUCGCUAGGGACGAAGCGCAAGUGACGGUACCUGGAGAAGAAGCACCGGCUAACUACGUG